rnacentral:rRNA from 1 species
GAGCAAACAGGAUUAGAUACCCUGGUAGUCCACGCCGUAAACGAUGUCGACUUGGAGGUUGUGCCCUUGAGGCGUGGCUUCCGGAGCUAACGCGUUAAGUCGACCGCCUGGGGAGUACGGCCGCAAGGUUAAAACUCAAAUGAAUUGACGGGGGCCCGCACAAGCGGUGGAGCAUGUGGUUUAAUUCGAUGCAACGCGAAGAACCUUACCUACUCUUGACAUCCAGAGAACUUAGCAGAGAUGCUUUGGUGCCUUCGGGAACUCUGAGAC